rnacentral:rRNA from 1 species
UACGUAGGGUGCAAGCGUUAAUCGGAAUUACUGGGCGUAAAGCGUGCGCAGGCGGUUUUGUAAGCCAGAUGUGAAAUCCCCGGGCUUAACCUGGGAAUGGCAUUUGGGACUGCAAGGCUGGAGUGUGGCAGAGGAGACUGGAAUUCUGGUGUAGCAGUGAAAUGACGUAGAUAUCAGGAGGAAUGAAGACCGAACCUGGU